CAGGAACCAGAGGGCAUCAUAACAGUAC
rnacentral:piRNA from 1 species